AGAAUCAACGCUGGCGGCGCGCUUAACACAUGCAAGUCGCACGAGAAAGUGGAGCAAUCCAUGAGUACAGUGGCGUACGGGUGAGUAACACGUGGGUAAUCUACCUCUUAGUGGGGGAUAUCUCUGGGAAACUAGAGUUAAUACCGCAUAAGUUCGAGAGAAGAAAGCAGCAAUGCGCUGAGAGAGGAGCCCGCGGCCGAUUAGCUAGUUGGUGGGGUAAAGGCUCACCAAGGCUGAGAUCGGUAGCCGGCCUGAGAGGGCACACGGCCACACUGGCACUGAAACACGGGCCAGACUCCUACGGGAGGCAGCAGUGGGGAAUCUUGCACAAUGGGGAAACCCUGAUGCAGCGACGCCGCGUGAGCGAUGAAGCCCUUCGGGGUGUAAAGCUCUUUCGACGGGAACGAUAAUGACGGUACCCGGAGAAGAAGCUGCGGCUAACUACGUGCCAGCAGCCGC
rnacentral:rRNA from 1 species